rnacentral:tRNA from 1 species
GUCGGUAAUAGNCGGGAUAGC